CCGCUAACUAGGGGACCCGCCCGCGGCCCUGCUCGUCUCCUUCCCCGAGUCGGACUGCAGCGCGCCGCACGCACAGCCGAGGCCGAGCCGGAUCGCCACGAGCACCCAACCGACCCCGUGCAUCCCUAGGGCUCCUUGGACGCGUAAGGAUUCGCCCGGCACGACCGCAACCCCUUUCUGUCCCUUCCAUCGUCUGCACGCCCCUGUUGGGCGAAUUGGAUCUCGCCGGGGAAUUCAGCCGCCGCCGCCUUUGUUGCUUGCGCUCAUCGCCAGCACGGGAACAAGCCUCCCGAGCAGACCCGACGCUGCCGGAGCACCACGUUCACGAGCCCGUCGUCGCCUACAGAGGGAGCCACGCCGCCGUUUAACACCACCUCCGUCACCGCCGAGACCUGCCGCCCCUGUACCUCACCUCACCUUUGCCGGAGGCCCGCUGGAGAAGCGCCACCAUCGACGCCCGAGACCGCCGCCGUGUCCUCUGUUGCUGAUUGUUCGGAGUGCGACACGAACUAUUGUCAGGAGUGUGACUUUUUGAACCAGAACCAAGGCAAGGAUAUUCAGAUGAAGAGUAAGGUACUAUUAGGGUCGCGAGUCUGCACUCAGCAUCGCCAGUGGGCUAUAAUGGGACUCAUCAUUAUUUUCUGCUACUUUUCGCUAUUUGAUUGAAUAAAGCUAGCCAUGUGCUAUGCCGAUUGUUUUAUUUUAUACAUUCUGGAUCAUACGUUGUAAUAAAUGAUGCACUUGCUAUUCUGGUAUUCAUCUGUACUGUGUGUGCUAGCGUGUUCGAUCCAGGGACUAGCACGGUAAGCACAGAGACUCAAAUCCUUCGAGGUUUGGUCGUUACAGA